rnacentral:rRNA from 1 species
AAUGAACGCUGGCGGUAUGCCUAACACAUGCAAGUCGAACGACAGCACAGUAAGUGCUUGCUCUUACGGGUGGCGCGCGGCGGAAGGGUGACGAAUGCAUCGGAUUCCACUUUGUCGGGGGUGAUAACGUAGGAAAACUUAUGCUAACACCGCAUACGUCGUACGGGUGAGAGCAGGGGAUCUACGGACCUUGCGCGAGUGUAAGAGCCGACGUCGGAUUAGAUUGUUGGCGGGGUAAAGGCGCAGGAAGGCUACGAUCCGAAGCGGCUCUGACAGGAUGAUCACACACAUGGGAACUGAGACAGGGUCCAGACUCCUACGCUGAGCCACGGUGGGGAAUCUUGGGCGAUGGAGGAGAGCCUAAUCCAGCCAUACCGCGUGGGUCAUGAAGGCCUUCGGGUUGUAAAGCCCUUUUGGUCGUAAAGAAAAGCAGCUGGUUAAUCCGCGACUAUUCUGACGGUACCCAAAGAAUAAGCACCGGCUAACUUCGUG